UGAUCUGAAUAGCCAACAAGA
rnacentral:piRNA from 1 species